GAAGAAAUCCAUCAAAGCAUAAGCUCCGACUUUCCGUAGAAGAGGUUCUACAUAGCAAGUUUGGCUUCAAUCUCUUCACUGAAGGAGAAAAGAGGCUCGGAUAGCUGCUAACCCUCACUUCAUCUAGGUUCUUGGCGUGCAAAAAUCUCUGCUGAUAUCAAGGAUCUUUUGUAAAUUGAUUAUGCUGUGUCUUGUUAAUGGUCUUAUAUUUGCUUAAAUUAUUUUGGAAGGGUUUUCAUGCGUUUUUUAUAUAUGUGGUUUUGCUCUCCUAGUCUCCUGAACCAUGACGAAAAGCUUCUAUUAAUAUAUUUCGAAGGUAGAUCUGCUUGGAUGGUCUUUGUGCAACUAUCUUACUAGGCAACCAAUGGAUACAAUAACUUGUGUAGCUAUGUGCUUUCAGAUUUUUUUAAUAAAAUUUUAGUUUUAGAUGUUCUUUAA